AAGACGACGACCUUCCUCAUUUCCGAGACCAGAACUGACAGACGACGACAGCCAUUCCCGCCGCCGCUCUUCCUCCGCCGACGAAGACACCGACAGCCAUCGCCUCAGUCUCAACCACAGUCGCCGCCGCCUUUCCUUCGCCGGAGAUGCCUCACUCGCCACCGCCACCGCCACCGACCACCCCGUAGCUGCCGAUUCCCAAAACAAUGGAAAUGAAGAGGGAAAGACGCAACGGAGUGUUGGGAUUCCAGACACCGAAGAACACUCCAACUUGGGGGUCUGGAGUUGCAUCCCUUUGCUUAGUUGUGUUUACUUAGUCUAGCAUUGAAGUACCAGGAAUAGAAGAUGAAAGUAAUUUGUCAAUGUUGCGUGCAACUCCUAUGCUGUCCUCAUGUAUGGAUCCCCUCCAAUAUAAAGAGAAAUAGGAGCAAUGAUGUCAUCAUGUAUGCAUCUCUCUCAUGUAUGCUGGAAGGAACUGUUGUAAAUGUACCUGAUAAUAGAGCACGGAAACAUUCUCGUGGUGACAGUAUUCAGGUUUACACUUGAUCAACUUCAUUGAAGGAGGUUGUGGAUGCUGCAUUGAUCAAGGCCAUUGAAGCAGUGCCGGAUUUGAAGGCUUAUUUCGGUGCAACGAGCAUACUUAUGUAGUAUCAAAUAAGUAUAUUUUCAUACUUAAGUAGUACGGAGUAUCAAUCAAG